rnacentral:rRNA from 1 species
AGUGAACGCUGGCGGCAGGCCUAACACAUGCAAGUCGAACGGCAGCACAGCAGUAGCAAUACUGUGGGUGGCGAGUGGCGGACGGGGGAGGAAUACAUGGGAAUCUACCCUGUCGUGGGG